AUUUAUUCACAAAUUUAGUGUAUCAAUAAUGAUCCUUCCGCAGGGUUCACCUACGGAAG
rnacentral:rRNA from 1 species